UGAUAGAUUGGCUUUCCGUUGAUAGAAAAUCGACUCUUGCGGUCGUUCAUCAUAACUCCUACUCCAGUAGCUGCCCUUACUUUACCACAAAGGUUGGUCUUUCCUGAUUUGCAGAACUUGCAUUCUCUGCAUUCUGCCUGGUAACAAGGUAUAACAUGGUCUCCUGGCUGAACCUCAGUAACUCCUUCACCGACACUUUCUACUAUCCUGCAAAUUUUAGAGGGCUAAGAGCAAGAAAGUGGGCAUCCAGACAAAACUCUUGUGUAGCUUCAACGGAAGCUAAUGUUCAAUAAAAAUGCUAUGACAUAAAGCGAGCACGUACCCUGCAGCCUCAUGACCAAGAACACAUGGGAAGAGACCUUCAGGAUCCUUCAAGGAGAAAGAAACACGUGUCAGGUAGUGACUGACAAUAACAAACAACAACCAUUAAUUCAAUAAACUAAUGAUCUUAAACCAUUGACUCCAACCUUAUUGUUUCCCAAAGUACCAAUUUCCACAGAAACAUUACGAAUUGGGGAUGCAAUUUUCUAAAUAAGAAGGAAAGGGCUACAAAUUCUUGGUAUUCCAAGAUAUCCUUGAGCAUAAAUGUUUAGAGGAAGAGAGAAAAUCUGAAAAUGCAUGUUUUAAUAAAAUUCCAUAGGGAAAAAUACUUUUGCACUAAUUUUAUUGUUUAUCAUAAGAAUGUAAUGAUAUGUUCAUAAUACUUAUUAGCCACUCAAAAGCAAAUUAACAUUGUUGCAGGAAUGCAGAACUCUUCAACUCCAUUUGAUGAUUAAUCCAUCAACCAACUAUGCCACGAUCCCAAAGACCAAACCAGCUGUGGUUAACUUUAUGAAUAAUUUGCAUCCAUUCUACUCUAUUCGACAGGUAUUCCCCGAGGAUUCAUCACAUUUAGACCACAUAACUACACCUUUAUCAGGCUUGAGACUGACUAUGCUCGUAGCAACUCACAUAACCAUAGUUCCAUAUGUUUGAUUGAGCACUUAAGAGUAAAAUCGGCAGUUCCUAAACAAGAGAAAAUAAUACAUACGGAUAUAAUAUAAGAUUACCUUGCCACUCCAGGUAUAAGCAUCAGUGUGGCAGAGAGCAGUAUAGAGAACUUUAACACGGACUUCACCGGCUUGCGGCGGAGCCACCUGCACAUCCUCGAUCACCAGAGGCUUG
rnacentral:lncRNA from 1 species